CGGAGGUGCGAGCGUUAUCCGGAUUAUUGGGUUUAAAGGGUCCGUAGGCGGACUCGUAAGUCAGUGGUGAAAUCUCACAGCUUAACUGUGAAACUGCCGUUGAUACUGCGGGUCUUGAGUAAGGUAGAAGUGGCUGGAAUAAGUAGUGUAGCGGUGAAAUGCAUAGAUAUUACUUAGAACACCAAUUGCGAAGGCAGGUCACUAUGUCUUAACUGACGCUGAUGGACGAAAGCGUGGGGAGCGAACAGGAUU
rnacentral:rRNA from 1 species